rnacentral:rRNA from 1 species
GGAAUAUUGGACAAUGGGCGAAAGCCUGAUCCAGCCAUGCCGCGUGUGUGAAGAAGGUCUUCGGAUUGUAAAGCACUUUAAGUUGGGCGGAAGGGCAGUAAGUUAAUACCUUGCUGUUUUGACGUUACCGACAGAAUAAGCACCGGCUAACUGCGUGCCAGCAGCCGCGGUAAUACGGGGGGGGCAAGCGUUGUUCGGAAUUACUGGGCGUAAAGGGCUCGUAGGCGGCCAACUAAGCCGGAUGUGAAAUCCCCAGGCUCAACCUGGGAACUGCAUCCGAUACUGGAUGGCUUGAAUUCGGGAGAGGGAUGCAGAAUUCCAGGUGUAGCGGUGAAAUGCGUAGAUAUCUGGAGGAAUACCGGUGGCGAAGGCGGCAUCCUGGACCGACAUUGACGCUGAGGAGCGAAAGCUAGGGGAGCAAA